rnacentral:tRNA from 1 species
GCCGCCUUAGCUCAGUUCGGGAGAGCUCCGUUCUUACAAAUCGGGAAAGUCGCUGGUUCGAAUCCAGCAGGCGGUA